GCCAAAGCCGGAAGGGCCGUCCUGCGGCGGGGCGUCCUCUCCCGUCGCCAGCGCGGCCGCCGACCUCGUCGCCAGCAAGCCCGGGGCCCCGCCGCCCUCCCGCUGAGUCAGCCGCACAAAGCACAGCAGCAGAAAAGGCCUCCUUCACCUGUUGGCAGAGGCUUCCUGGCUCUCAGUCUUCAUGACUCCCCUAGAUGCCCUUGACCUAAGAGAGAGCUCUCAACUUCCAUUUAUUGAACAAUAAAUACACAUAUCUGUUUGUUUCUA